UGGGGAAUUUUGGACAAUGGGGGCAACCCUGAUCCAGCCAUGCCGCGUGCGGGAAGAAGGCCUUCGGGUUGUAAACCGCUUUUAGCCGGGAAGAAAAGGCAGGGGCUAACACUCUCUGUUCUUGACGGUACCGGCGGAAUAAGCACCGGCUAACUACGUGCCAGCAGCCGCGGUAAUACGUAGGGUGCGAGCGUUAAUCGGAAUUACUGGGCGUAAAGCGUGCGCAGGCGGUUCGUUAAGUCUGAUGUGAAAGCCCCGGGCUCAACCUGGGAAUGGCAUUGGAUACUGGCGGGCUUGAGUGUGGCAGAGGGGGGUUGGAAUUCCGGCGUGUAGCAGUGAAAUGCGUAGAGAUGCGGAGGAACACCGAUGGCGAAGGCAGCCCCCUGGGCUGACACUGACGCU
rnacentral:rRNA from 1 species